UGCACCCUUAUAAAGUGUGGGGCGCCCAGGCCUAUGGGUUGCCUGAGUUUUUAGGGUUUGUAGGUUAUUUAAGGACACUUAAGUCUCUAGGGUUAGAUCAUUCUCAGCCUCUAUCGACCCUAGAGAAUGUUUCCAGCAAACCCUAGUCAUCUUCUCCCAUAUUUGAGCUUAGAAUCCUCUUUGAGAACUUAUUUUUAUCAUUUUGGUGGUUAAAGCUAAUAGAAGAAGGCUCCAUCUUGGUGUGUAGAAGCAAAGGAGCAUUGUAGAUCCAUAAAGCUUACUUAUCUUCUAAACUUUUUCCCAUCUUGUUGGUAAGCUUGGACCUGAGAUGACUCCAACUCCUUCUAAUUAGCGACUCGAUCAAGCCUAGAAACUCAAUUGUUUUAUCACGUAGAGGGUGCGGGGCACCCUUAUGGGGGGUGGUGCGUUUUUUGACCGGAAUAUGAUAUUUUAUUGACUUUUGACUAAGUUUGACUUUGGGUUUAUGGUUUUAGGUCUUAGGUUAUGGUUGACCUUGAGUUAUACGUUUAGAUGGUUAUUGUAUCAGUCUUCAGCCGCUGCAAGCUAUAGUGAUUGUGUGAUUGUAAGGUUGAUCUUGAGAUACUUAAAUUUGAUUAUAUGAAUGUCGUAUAGGACAUUAACAAUAUUUGGGUAGAUAUUGUUGGUAGUGAGGAUAGUGCGGAAUUUGAGUUUCAAGAAUCAAAUUUGGAAAAUUUAGCGAA